GGUAUUAAGGUUGUGCUUUUAUACAGAAGAGGUGAACUGUUUUGCUUUUACACAUCAGUAGCAGAUGUCAGGGCUCUGAGAGCUGAUUUCUGUCUGGAAGAAAAAUUUGUGACACAGACCAUAGGAAUCAUCUUUCUUAUCAGACUUCUAUAUUAAAUACAUGAGACUUUGAACAGAUGUACAGACUGAUGAUAUUGCAGGAAAUAACCCUUCUCUAGAAAUUUCAAUCUGGAAGUCAGUGUUUUGCUUUCAGAAAACAACUUUAUCUUUGAAGUUCCUACCAACUAAAGAUAUAGUGUUACAGGGCUACUAAUACCUCAUUCCUCAAAGUCUAUGUUCUGCUCAUGUGCAGAGGAAAGCAAGUUAUUGAAGAGACUUGUGUGCAAGGAAGCAUUAUAAUCUAUGAGGGUGGUUCUCAGAAAUGGACAGUAAUGAACACUGUUUUGGAGCGUGGGCUUCCUGAGCUGUCUUGAGUGCAUUGUGCUGUAGAUAUUCCCUUUGUAAAGGUACUGUUUGCAGGAGUGACUUGCUUAGUCUCCCUCCCCCCCAACCUCAUCUUUGAAGAUAUGUAUUGGAAUUUCUUGUUUCAAGUGUUUUUUGGGGUGGGUUUUUUUUUGUUUGUUUAUUUUUAUUUUAAGGAAAGGGAAUGAAAUUUUAUGAGGUUAAGAAUUCGUCUCUCAUUCUCUUCUGAAUCCUCUCUCAGGGAGAACAUGGCAGGAAAAGGAAGAAGCUCAGCUCAGUGGAUGCAGACUGGUGUGGGAGACUUCCUAGUACUGGUGUCUAAAGUGGGAAAGCAGCAACUCUACGUUAAAACUUAACAAGAUAAAACAGAAAGCAGAAGAUAAUAAGUACAAGGUAAAAAUUCUUUCAAAGUUUGAAAUAUUGUCAGCUAAAAUAAAGCUUUUCAGGGUUAUGUAAAUAGUAAAAAU
rnacentral:lncRNA from 1 species